UAUUUUCUUCUGGUAAAGCGAAUGAUUAAAGGCCUUAGGGCCGAAACAACCUUAACCUAUUCUCAAACUUUAAAUGGGUAAAAACCUGAACUUUCUUGAUAUGAAGUUUAAGGUUAUGAUAUAUUGUGCCCAGUGGGCCACUUUUGGUAAGCAAAACUGGCGCUGUGGGAUGAACCAAACGCAAUGUUAAGGUGCCUAAAUUAAUAACUCAUGCAGAUACCAUGAAAGGCGUUGCUUGCUUAAAACAGCAGGACGGUGGACAUGGAAGUCGUAAUCCGCUAAGGAGUGUGUAACAACUCACCUGCCGAAGCAACUAGCCCUUAAAAUGGAUGGCGCUUAAGUUAUAUACCUAUACAUUGCUGUUAAUAUAAGUGAUUUA
rnacentral:rRNA from 1 species